rnacentral:rRNA from 1 species
GACGAACGCUGGCGGCGUGCCUAAUACAUGCAAGUAGAACGCUGAAGGCGGAGCUUGCUUCUCUGGAUGAGUUGCGAACGGGUGAGUAACGCGUAGGUAACCUGCCUGGUAGCGGGGGAUAACUUUUGGAAACGAUAGCUAAUACCGCAUAAGAGUAGAUGUUGCAUGACAUUUGCUUAAAAGGUUCAAUUGCAUCACUACCAGAUGGACCUGCGUUGUAUUAGCUAGUUGGUGGGGUAACGGCUUACCAAGGCGACGAUACAUAGCCGACCUGAGAGGGUGAUCGGCCAGACUGAGAGUGAGACACGGCCCAGACUCCUACGGGAGGCAGCAGUAGGGAAUCUUCGGCAAUGGACGGAAGUCUGACCGAGCAACGCCGCGUGAGUGAAGAAGGUUUUCGGAUCGUAAAGCUCUGUUGUAAGAGAAGAACGAGUGUGAGAGUGGAAAGUUCACACUGUGACGGUAUCUGACCAGAAAGGGACGGCUAACUACGUG